AUACGGAGGGAUCUAGCGUUAUUCGGAAUUACUGGGCGUAAAGCGAGCGUAGGCUGAUUUGUAAGUUGGAUGUGAAAUCCCAGAGCUUAACUCUGGAACUGCAUCCAAAACUAUAUUUCUUGAGUUUGGUAGAGGAGAGUGGAAUUCCUAGUGUAGAGGUGAAAUUCGUAGAUAUUAGGAGGAACACCAGUGGCGAAGGCGACUCUCUGGGCCAAUACUGACGCUGAGGUUCGAAAGCGUGGGUAGCGAACAGGAUUAGAUACCCCAGUAGUCC
rnacentral:rRNA from 1 species